UCUACGGGUGGCUGCAGUGAGGAAUAUUGCACAAUGGGGGGAACCCUGAUGCAGCGACGCCGCGUGGGUGAAGGAGCGUUUCGGCGCGUAAAGCCCUAUCGGCAGGGAAGAAGGAGGACGGUACCUGACUAAGAAGCCCCGGCUAACUACGUGCCAGCAGCCGCGGUAAUACGGAGGGGGCAAGCGUUAUCCGGAUUUACUGGGUGGAACGGGGGCGCAGACGGCAGCGCAAGCCAGGAGUGAAAGCCCGGGGCCCAACCCCGGGACUGCUCUUGGAACUGCGCGGCUGGAGGGCAGGAGGGGCCGGCGGAAAUCCUGGUGUAGCCGGGGAAAGCG
rnacentral:rRNA from 1 species